GCCUGGAUAGCUCAGUUGAUAGAGCAUCAGAUGUUUAAUCUGAGGAUCCAGAAUUCAAGUCCCUGUCUGGGCA